rnacentral:misc_RNA from 1 species
UCCGUAGGUGAACCUGCGGAAGGAUCAUUACGAAAUUGUAGGCCGGUCUGACCGGUUCUAUUCUACCCUGUUUUUUGCGCACCUUUUGUUUCCUCGGUGGGCUUGCCUGCCGAUAGGACAAUUUCAACUCUUUAUGGUUUUUAGCAAUCAGCGUCAAAAUUUACUAAAUUGUAACAACUUUCAACAACGGAUCUCUUGGUUCUGGCAUCGAUGAAGAACGCAGCGAAAUGCGAUAAGUAGUGUGAAUUGCAGAAUUCCGUGAAUCAUCGAAUCUUUGAACGCACAUUGCGCCUAUUGGUAUUCCAAUAGGCAUGCCUGUUCGAGCGUCAUUUAAACCUUCAAGCCUUGCUUGGUGUUGGGUGCUGUCUCGGCGAACCCCCCUUUUUGGGGGGUUUCUGUAGACUCGCCUUAAAUAAAUUGGCAGCCGGCAAUUGGGUGUUGGAGCGCAGCACAAUUUGCGUUCCCAGCCAUAGCAGCUUUGGCGUCCACAAAGCUUAUUUUAACGUUUGACCUCGGAUCAGGUAGGGAUACCCGCUGAACUUAAGCAUAUCAAUAAGCGGAGGAAAAGAAACCAACAGGGAUUGCCUUAGUAACGGCGAGUGAAGCGGCAAUAGCUCAAAUUUGAAAUCUGGCUCUUUUAGAGUCCGAGUUGUAAUUUGUAGAGGGCGCUUUGGCGUUUGCAGCGGUCUAAGUUCCUUGGAACAGGACGUCACAGAGGGUGAGAAUCCCGUACGUGGUCGCUAGUAUUCGCCGUGUAAAGCCCCUUCGACGAGUCGAGUUGUUUGGGAAUGCAGCUCUAAAUGGGAGGUAAAUUUCUUCUAAAGCUAAAUACUGGCCAGAGACCGAUAGCGCACAAGUAGAGUGAUCGAAAGAUGAAAAGCACUUUGGAAAGAGAGUCAAACAGCACGUGAAAUUGUUGAAAGGGAAGCGCUUGCAGCCAGACUUGCCUGUAGUUGCUCAUCCGAGCUUUUGCCCGGUGCACUCUUCUGUGGGCAGGCCAGCAUCAGUUUGGGCGGUUGGAUAAAGGUCUCUGUCACGUACCUCCUUUCGGGGAGGCCUUAUAGGGGAGGCGACAUGCAACCAGCCUGGACUGAGGU